CCUGUUUCAGACCCUUCCAGAUCUGAUUUUUGGCCAUUGGUUUCUGAUCCAAGUUCUGCAGUUGAGGGAGAAAGAACAGUAGGAGAAUUCUCCAUGCCACUGAUUGUUUCCGUGUCUGCAUUUAUUGACAGAUGAGCUUCUCAAAAGGAGUAGAGCCUCACCAGCAACUCCAGAUUCAGAUGCAACAGCAAUUUCCACUGUGAACUGUGUAUCCUCAUUGCCAGGGCCCGUUUCAAGCUUAUCAGGAUCGUUUCGACAAAAGAUAUUAAUCUUCAUGCCAUCUUCCACUUGUGCAGCAUUGUUUUUCUGCAGAAAUGACAGUGGCAUCAUAAAUGAUUACUGAUAUAAUAUAUAUAUGAAUAAUGUAUCACGAAAGAACAUACGGGAUUUCAACUUACAUCCGA